GAAUCUGUGGCUGAGAUGGUUAAGCGUUUGCUAAGUUGCAAAAGACGACAGUUCGAUUCUGUCCGGAUUGCU